AUAAAAUUUGAUAAACGCAGAGAGACCAAAUAAAAUUUGUUUGGUUCCUAUAUCGAUGAACUAGGGUUUCGAUUUAGUGCGGCGACGAGGAGAUGAGGAAGAGCAAAAGACGAUGAAAUCUAUUAGGUUUCGUUGGUAAUCAAUGGUCUAGGGCUUGGAUUAUGGUGGACAAUGACGACGACAAACCGACGACGAAAUCAACAAAUAGAUGGCCGGAAAUUGUCAUCGUUGUGACCUAAAAACUACCUGGCUAAGGAUGCUGGAAUAGGUCAUUCAAAGGACAUUGCUGAUCAAUUGGGACCUCUUGGUUCAUGUGGAGAUCACCAUCUCUACCAAUCUAAUAUCUAUGCUCCUCAGGCGCAGGCCAUUUACUAUAAAGAUCAUACCUUAGUUUCGUGGAACUGCAAUUAAUUCUGGAACUUUUCAGAGUAUUGUCCAGGUUUGUGAUUAAAUAUCACAUGCAGCUAGCUAGUAGGUAAACCAGCUUCAAAUUUGAAAUUUCAUGGUGACUUUCAUGGUCACCGUUCAAGUAUGUAGUGUGUGUUCAUUCACAGGUGUAAGAUCAUACCAUAGUAUAAUUUUUUUAUAAUUUGUGUGUGUAAGAUUUGUAUUUAAUAUUGCUUAAAUAAAACAAGAGCUAAUGGGUUGAAGCAACUUAAUAAUAAGAACAUCUGCACACUUCAUUACCUAUCUUCAAGUAGUGUGUGUGUCAGUAGCACGGAUAUUGAGGUACACCACUUGAAAAUCGAGACUACAUGGCAUGGACACAUCAAUAUAUUUUAUAUGUAUAUAUGAAAAUAAUAUAAUUUCUCCAUUUUUUUUAUAUUACAAAUACAUUUAUAUUUUUUUUUGAUUAGCAGCAGAGAAGUUUUAUUAAGACUAGAAGAGAAAAGAUAAAGAGAGGUACGUAGGAGGACAAGAAGUCCUCAAAGAAAAGGAAAGAGAAAAUAUAACACAAUUACAAAUCACAUUCAACUCUCCAGUCACUAAAAAGGGCAGUCCUAGUGCACGAGGGUCCUGCCAUUACCAAGUUUGGGGAUCCCCCUACUGAGGGGCAUCACUAAGCCCCUUGCACUAUCAAUUCCCCCUCCCAAAGCAUUACCAAAUAAGCUGUGGGUGGGACCCACAGGUGCACUUGGUAAAAAAAAUAAAUUUUUUAUAUAAAAUAGAUUAAAUCCGCUUACUAUUUUCCUAAUCGCAUCCAAAACUCAGCCAAGUUAAUCCCCCUCUGAGGGGGAUUACUAAGCCCCUCGCACUAUCAAUUCCCCCUCCUAAAGCAUUACCAAAUAAGUUGUGGUUGGGACCCCCAGUCAUAGCAAUCCAAUCCCCCUCCCAUGCUGAUAAACAAACAUGACCUGAAGUUGAUCACUAACAUCUAAACACACAAAGUAAGUAUUGCCCCAAUCCAUCGUUGCCAAUCUAGAUACUAUCCGCCAAAAAGCGAAAGCCAUAAGACAAAGCAAAAAUAGAUGAUCAAUGCUUUUCUCCUCUAUCCUGGACAUAACAUACCGCUAUGGACAUAAAUAGCAAUUGGGUCUUCUAAUUUGAAAUAUGUUUAUGGUGAGUUUCUUAUGAGUUUUUUCUCCAUGCAAAAAGAUUUAGACCAUGUUUGUUUGGAUGGUCUGGAUAAAGGAGAAUUGCAAUGCAAUGGAUUGUUAGCCUUGGGCUAAAUAGUUCCUGGAUUAUUUGGUUGGAAAUUAUGUGUAUACAAUGUUUGUUUUGUCAUGGGAUUAGAUGUUUGGAAAUGACUAUUUUAGUGAAUCUCAUGUUUGAUUAGGAAAUUAUAUAGAAUGAUAACUUCUCAAAAAACCAUUUUGUCUUUUGAAUUGUUUACAAUGGCAAAUGAUAAAUUUGAAGUAUAUUUUGUUUUAUUAAGACAACUUUUAAUUUUAUUUAAAUACAACAUUAGAAUUAUAUUUUCAUUUAUAAUUUUGCUAAUACAAAAUAGGGAAAAAAAAAAGAAAAAAAAAGAGAAGACCAUUAUAUAUUAUGAGAUUAAUUUACACAUGUUUAAAAAAGUUUGUGUUUAAAUAUUUUUGUAAGAAAAAAUGAAGAAAAGAGAUGUUGUAUAUUGUCUUUAUUUUGAACAUUAGAAGUAUAUUUUCUUUUAUUAUUUUGCUAAUACAAAAUAAAAAAUAAAAAAUAAAAAAUAAAAAAU